CUCUGGUAUUGAUUGGUGCUUGCAUCAUGAUUUACAUUUGAGUGAGUGGCGAACUGGUGAGUAACACGUGGGAAACCUGCCCAGAAGCGGGGGAUAACACCUGGAAACAGAUGCUAAUACCGCAUAACAACUUGGACCGCAUGGUCCGAGUUUGAAAGAUGGCUUCGGCUAUCACUUUUGGAUGGUCCCGCGGCGUAUUAGCUAGAUGGUGGGGUAACGGCUCACCAUGGCAAUGAUACGUAGCCGACCUGAGAGGGUAAUCGGCCACAUUGGGACUGAGACACGGCCCAAACUCCUACGGGAGGCAGCAGUAGGGAAUCUUCCACAAUGGACGAAAGUCUGAUGGAGCAACGCCGCGUGAGUGAAGAAGGGUUUCGGCUCGUAAAACUCUGUUGUUAAAGAAGAACAUAUCUGAGAGUAACUGUUCAGGUAUUGACGGUAUUUAACCAGAAAGCCACGGCUAACUACGUGCCAGCAGCCGCGGUAAUACGUAGGUGGCAAGCGUUGUCCGGAUUUAUUGGGCGUAAAGCGAGCGCAGGCGGUUUUUUAAGUCUGAUGUGAAAGCCUUCGGCUCAACCGAAGAAGUGCAUCGGAAACUGGGAAACUUGAGUGCAGAAGAGGACAGUGGAACUCCAUGUGUAGCGGUGAAAUGCGUAGAUAUAUGGAAGAACACCAGUGGCGAAGGCGGCUGUCUGGUCUGUAACUGACGCUGAGGCUCGAAAGUAUGGGUAGCAAACAGGAUUAGAUACCCUGGUAGUCCAUACCGUAAACGAUGAAUGCUAAGUGUUGGAGGGUUUCCGCCCUUCAGUGCUGCAGCUAACGCAUUAAGCAUUCCGCCUGGGGAGUACGGCCGCAAGGCUGAAACUCAAAGGAAUUGACGGGGGCCCGCACAAGCGGUGGAGCAUGUGGUUUAAUUCGAAGCUACGCGAAGAACCUUACCAGGUCUUGACAUACUAUGCAAAUCUAAGAGAUUAGACGUUCCCUUCGGGGACAUGGAUACAGGUGGUGCAUGGUUGUCGUCAGCUCGUGUCGUGAGAUGUUGGGUUAAGUCCCGCAACGAGCGCAACCCUUAUUAUCAGUUGCCAGCAUUAAGUUGGGCACUCUGGUGAGACUGCCGGUGACAAACCGGAGGAAGGUGGGGAUGACGUCAAAUCAUCAUGCCCCUUAUGACCUGGGCUACACACGUGCUACAAUGGAUGGUACAACGAGUUGCGAACUCGCGAGAGUAAGCUAAUCUCUUAAAGCCAUUCUCAGUUCGGAUUGUAGGCUGCAACUCGCCUACAUGAAGUCGGAAUCGCUAGUAAUCGCGGAUCAGCAUGCCGCGGUGAAUACGUUCCCGGGCCUUGUACACACCGCCCGUCACACCAUGAGAGUUUGUAACACCCAAAGU
rnacentral:rRNA from 2 species